ensembl:lncRNA
UAAAGAAUAUUCCCUUGUACUGUUUCAGAAAGCUUCCACAUUAUUAUACUCACUUCACUGCUGGAGGGAGAACAAUGUCCCUCUCUGCCAUCCUUCCUAACCACCUAGGAGACAUGCAGGGACAGUGCCUGAUUUGUGCUAGUGGACAAGCAUCCUUGGCAUUAUUUUCAACAGAAGGAGCAAUUCCACUGAUGGUUUAAGCCAUAGGUUUUCAUUGCUAAAAAAAAUAAUGUAGGCAGCACUUGGAUGUUUAUUGUAAGCCUCUUUGUAUUGUUGUAAAAUCAGAAUAUAAAUUACUAAAUGGAUGUUACAGGACCAGCACCAUUUAAACUAACUUGCUGUAAUAGAUGUAGAUUGGGCAUUUUAUAUAAUUAAAGUGGAUAAUGCUAUUCUGUAACAAUAUACUGAUACUUUAAGACUAAUGAUGGAAGCCCUUGAAAUAUGCUACUGACAAUUAUGUGUUCAUUCUUACCUACUCCUAUAUCCCACUCAAGUUUCCUGAAAGAGAUGCAACAUGAAUUUGGGUACUGAAACAUGGAUCCUGCUUAAUACGACACUAUGUUCAGCCCUGUGUCCUCUGGAAGUACUGAAUUAUACUUGCCAUCUUUCCUAGCCAGCAUGGGUUGGAGGGACAACAGAGGUCAUCCAACAUACCUGGGAAGCUGUCUCAAAGGGUUUCCCCAGUUGUCCAGAACAAACCUUCAAAGGGCCGAAUGAGAAAAAGAGGAACCACUACCUAACAGUACAAGAUGUGACAUGAAGGACAUUCACUCAUGUAACCUUGGAUCCAGCCUUGGCUUUUUAAAUACUGACGGUGCUUUAUUUGUAUUUGAACCCUUUCCCUCUUACUUUGCUCUUCCUGAGUGAAAAAAAAAAACACUUUGUAAUAUAAAAUGUGCAUUCCCUUAAGAUAAAAAAAUAAGGUACUCAGAUUGUUUGUAGUUUCAUAAGAAUCCAUGAAACUACAAUCAUAUGCUGUAACACAGUCUCCCUCCACUUACCCUUCCCAACCCAACAAUGCUUUCAGAAAAGCACCGAUGUUAUUUGAAGCUAAUGAAAUUUAAGGAACUGAUUAAAGUUCAGUAAAACUUGUGAUCAGCUUGCUUUACAUGGUAGAAGAAUGAGGAUGUAGUUGAAACCAUUCUUUAUAUCAACAAAUCUUCUCAUACUUAUCCGUAAAAGAAAUUAGUUUUUUAAAGAUUUUUAUUUCAUACUAAUUUUCUGUCAUGGACCUCCAUUUAUUCAUCAAUGUUUAUAUAAUUGGAUGAGCUAUUUAUUGUUUUAACCCCCCCGAGAGAUUAAGCUUUAGAUGAGACAGACGUUAUUGCUUCAGAAUACAACAUUCUUUUUUAUUUCAAUAUACAUUAUCUAAAAAAAGCAGAUGCAUUGUUAAUUGCCUCCCUUAUUUCACUUAUUUGUGUAUUAUAUUUUUCCUGAAAGCUACAACUGGAGGAAUGAAGUGUAAAUUGCUAGAACAAAGGCAUAACCCAUGUGAACUUUAAAGAACUUCAUAAAAUUACAGUGGUGCCCUGCAAGACGAUGCUAAUUCGUUCCAUUGAAAUCGCUCUUAUCAAAAGCAUUGUCUUGAGAAAAGCGUUUCCCCACUGGAAUGCCUUGAAAUCCGUUUAAUGUGUUCCUAUGGGGAAAAAAUGUCAUUUUGGGAAGAUCACCCAUAGAGAAGCCAUUUUGCGAAGCAUCAAUCAGCUGUUUAAAUCGC